rnacentral:rRNA from 1 species
UAUUGCACACUGGGGGAAACCCUGAUGCAGCGACGCCGCGUGAGUGAAGAAGUAUUUCGGUAUGUACAGCUCUAUCACCAGGGAAGAANNUGACGGUACCUGAUUAAGAAGCCCCGGCUCACUACGUGCCAGCCGCCGCGGUACUACGUAGGGGGCAAGCGUUAUCCGGAUUUAAUGGGUGUAAAGGGAGCGUAGACGGCAGCACAAGUCUGGAGUGAAAUGCCGGGGCUUAACCCCGGAACUGCUUUGGAAACUGUGCAGCUAGAGUGCAGGAGAGGUAAGUGGAAUUCCUAGUGUAGCGGUGAAAUGCGUAGAUAUUAGGAGGAACACCAGUGGCGAAGGCGGCUUACUGGACUGUAACUGACGUUGAGGCUCGAAAGCGUGGGGAGCAAACAGG